rnacentral:rRNA from 1 species
UACGUACGAGGCGAGCGUUAUCCGGAAUUACUGGGCGUAAAGAGUGUGUAGGCGGUGCUCUAAGUUUGGUGUGAAAUCUCCCGGCUCAACUGGGAGGGUGCGCCGAAAACUGGAAUGCUUGAACAUGGGAGAGGAAAGCGGAAUUCCUGGUGUAGCGGUGAAAUGCGUAGAUAUCAGGAGGAACACCUGCGGUGUAGACGGCUUUCUGGACCAUUGUUGACGCUGAGACACGAAAGCGUGGGUAGCAAACAGG